rnacentral:rRNA from 1 species
AGCGAACGCUGGCGGCAGGCUUAACACAUGCAAGUCGAGCGGGCACUUCGGUGUCAGCGGCAGACGGGUGAGUAACACGUGGGAACGUACCCUUUGGUUCGGAACAACGCUGGGAAACUAGCGCUAAUACCGGAUACGCCCUUUUGGGGAAAGGCUUGCUGCCGAAGGAUCGGCCCGCGUCUGAUUAGCUAGUUGGUGGGGUAAUGGCCUACCAAGGCGACGAUCAGUAGCUGGUCUGAGAGGAUGAUCAGCCACACUGGGACUGAGACACGGCCCAGACUCCUACGGGAGGCAGCAGUGGGGAAUAUUGGACAAUGGGCGCAAGCCUGAUCCAGCCAUGCCGCGUGAGUGAUGAAGGCCUUAGGGUUGUAAAGCUCUUUUGUCCGGGACGAUAAUGACGGUACCGGAAGAAUAAGCCCCGGCUAACUUCGUG